rnacentral:rRNA from 1 species
CCUACGGGAGGCAGCAGCGAGGAAUCUUGCGCAAUGGGCGAAAGCCUGACGCAGCAACGCCGCGUGGGGGAUGAAGGCCUUCGGGUCGUAAACCCCUUUUGCAGGGGAAGAAGCUCUGACGGUACCCUGCGAAUAAGCCACGGCUAACUACGUGCCAGCAGCCGCGGUAAUACGUAGGUGGCUAGCGUUAUCCGGAUUCACUGGGCGUAAAGAGCGCGUAGGCGGUGUGCUAAGUUGGACGUGAAAGCCCCGGGCUAAACCGGGGGAGGUCGUCCAAUACGGGUGCACUUGAGGGUGGACGGGGAAAGCGAAAUUCCCGGUGUAGUGGUAAAAGGCGUAGAUAUCGGGAGGAACACCAGUGCGAAGGCGGCUUUCUAGACCACUCCUGACGCUGAGGCGCGAAAGCGUGGGGAGCGAACGGGAUUAGAUACCCGGGUAGU